GUGUCAGCCGCCGCGGUAAUACAGAGAGUGCAAGCGUUAAUCGGAAUUAUUGGGCGUAAAGGGUGUGUAGGUGGUUAAAAAAGUUAAAUGUGAAAUCCCUAAGCUUAACUUAGGAACUGCAUUUAAUACUAUUUAACUAGAGUUUUGUAGGGGAAAGUAGAAUUUCCGGUGUAGCGGUGAAAUGCGUAGAUAUCGGAAGGAAUACCAGAGGCGAAGGCGACUUUCUGGACAAAUACUGACACUGAUACACGAAAGCGUGGGGAGCAAACAGGAUUAGAAACCCGGGUAGUCC
rnacentral:rRNA from 1 species